rnacentral:lncRNA from 1 species
CUACUGAGGAAAGCCUACAAAAUCGGCAAAGUAAUAUUAUUCCUAAUAAAUCCAUAGACCAAAUGGGUUUUGGUAAACGGCAGGAAAAUAAAACAGAAUAGUGUGUGUUAAUAUCAGGAUUUGAUUUACCUGUUAAUGUAAUUGGAAAAAUCAAAACACCUAAAACAGUUGGUGCAGUUAAUCUCCAUGAAGGACCAGAAAUAAAAACAGAAAAUGGUAAAGACUCGUCCAGAUUAUCCUCUCGUCACUCAGAAAGUUCUGAUCAAAUGCUGUUCUUUUGCUCAAAAGUUGGAUGUGUCAUUAGAUUUGCUACCUUAAAUGGACUUGAAAACCAUCUAUUGAUAGCUAUAUAUAUAUAUAUA